AUACUUACCUGGCGGGGGGUGGGGGGAUGGGAGGGGGUACCAUGAUCACGAAGGUGUUUUCCCAGGGAGAGGCUUAUCCAUUGCACUCCGGAUGCGCUGACCCCUGCGGUUUCCCCACAUGUGGGAAACUCAACUGCAUAUUUGUGGUCGUGGGGGACUGCAUUCGCGCUCUGUCCUG
ensembl:snRNA U1 U1 spliceosomal RNA